rnacentral:rRNA from 1 species
CGUUCCCGGACCUUGUACACACCGCCCGUCAAGCCAUGGGAGCCGGGAGUGCCUGAAGAUGGUGACCCGACAGGGAGCUGUCCAGGGUAAAACCGGUGACUGGGGCU